CUCGCCUUCCCGCCCGCCCCUAUUGUUCCGCCCCGGCCUCCCGCCCUUCGCCUUCCCGCCCGCUCUCCUUUUCCCCUCAGUUACCUCGCGCCUGCAGUUUUUGGCUUUCACCCCCACCAGUGACCAAAGACCUGACCACUCAGAGUCCAGCUCCUGAGAACACUGCUCAACAUGGACACCGGUGUGAUUGAAGGUGGAUUAAAUGUCACUCUCACCAUCCGGCUACUUAUGCAUGGAAAGGAAGUUGGCAGUAUCAUCGGGAAGAAAGGAGAAUCAGUUAAGAAGAUGCAUGAGGAGAGUGGUGCAUGUAUCAACAUCUCAGAAGGGAAUUAUCCUGAGAGGAUUAUCACUUUGGUUGGACCCACUAAUGCCAUCUUCAAAGGUUUUGCUAUGGAAGAGGACAUCAGCAGCUCUAUGACCAAUAGCACAGCUGCCAGUAGACCCCCAGUCACCCUGAGGCUGGUGGUCCCUGCUAGUCAGUGUGGCUCUCUCAUUGGGAAAGGUGGUUGCAAGAUCAAGGAAAUACGUGAGAGUACAGGGGCUCAGGGCCAGGUGGCAGGAGAUAUGCUCCCCAACUCAACUGAGGGGCCAUCACUAUUGCUGGCAUUCCGCAGUCCAUCAUUGAGUGUGUGAAACAGAUCUGCGUGGUCAUGUUGGAGACUCUCUCCCAGUCCCCCCCGAAGGGUGUGACCAUCCCGUACCAGCCCAAGCCGUCCAGUUCUCCAGUCAUCUUUGAUGACUGCAGGUGGUCAGGACAGGUACAGCACAGGUAGCGACAGUGCGAGCUUUCCCCACACCACCCCAUCCAUGUGCCUCAACUCUGACCUGGAGGGACCACCUCUAGAAGCCUAUACCAUUCAAGGACAGUAUGCCAUUCCACAGCCAGAUUUGACCAAGCUGCACCAGUUGGCAAUGCAACAGUCUCAUUUUCCCAUGACGCAUGGCAAGACCGCAUUCAGUGCAGGUUUGGAUGCAUCUGCUCAGACUACUUCUCAUGAACUCACCAUUCCAAACAAUUUGAUUGGCUGCAUACUCGGGUGUCAAGGCGCCAAAAUCAAUGAGAUCCGUCAGAUGUCUGGGGCACAGAUCAAAAUUGCGAACCCAGUGGAAGGAUCUACUGAUAGGCAGAUUACCAUCACUGGAUCUGCUGCCAGCAUUAGCCUGGCUCAAUAUCUAAUCAAUGUCAGGCUUUCCUCGGAGACGGGUGGCAUGGGAGCAGCUAGAACAAUGCAGACUCAUCCAUAAUCCCUUUCUGCUGUUCACCACCACCCAUGAUCCAUCUGUGUAGUUUCUGAACAGUCAGUGAUUCCAGGUUUUAAAUAGUUUGUAAAUUUUCAGUUUCUACACACUUUAUCAUCCACUCGUGAUUUUUUAAUUAAAGCGUUUUAAUUCCUUUCUCUGUUCAGCUGUUAAUGCUGAGAUCCAUAUUUAGUUUUAUAAGCUUCUCCCUGUUUUGUUUUUGUUUUGUUUUGUUUUUUGGGGGGGGAUUUUUGGCUCAUGAAAUUUUUUUGUUUGUCAUGGAAAUGUAAGAGUGGAAUAUUAAUACAUUUCAGUUUAGUUCUGUAAUGUCAGGAAUUUUUCAAAAAAAUUAAAAGAUGGACUGGAGC